GAGGGGGAGACUCAAUCUGAAAGAGACUUACCGAGACAAAAAUAAUUAAAACAAGGCAACAUGGAGGACUCAAGGGGUCCAAGUACGGGUGUCACACGCCAUAGCUCUGGGGGCCUCUGAUCUCUCCAACGGAGGAACACAUCUCACCAUGCAGCGCUGCUGGGGGAAGCACCAGAGUCGGUCACAAAGCAGGCAAAGAGAGGGGAUCUGUGGACAAGUACCUUUACCCUCAGAAAGGAACCCGUGAGGCAUGCACUUAGUACAGGUGAUUGUAGCAGCCUCUUUAUGGGUCAGAGCCGCCUACAGGACCAGAAGCUUCAUGAAGCCAGCACCCCAACUUCCAACACCAGCGUCCGCAAUGCCCAACAGAGAUCCCAGGUGAGGAAGCUGAACUGACUUUGGUGACAUAUAUUCCCCAAGAUCUGACAGCUGAUGAGUGACAGAGCACGUAUUCAAACCCAGAUAACGUGCUUUCUGCCUGCAGUGGUUCCUGGGCAUGCUCACUGACCUGCGCAUUCAUCUAUGCUUUCAUCCAUUCAUCAAAUACUUAUGAGGGCCUCCUAUGCACUUAGCUAUGGAACAGAUCCUGGGGACCUCGUGGUGAGUAAGACCCAGAGGCAGCACAGAGUAGCAUGGCUUUAGAAUCAGACAAAUGCAG
rnacentral:lncRNA from 10 species